AAACCGCUUAGGGGUUAAGCCCGAUGAACCUGAAUAUCUGAAAUGAGAAAUUCAAUACUAAUAUAUAAUUUAUGGUAAUAUAUAAAUUAUAUGAUGGUAUGCACUUUUCUCAUAGUAGGACAUUGCAAUCCAUUAGUGUUAUAUUUUUGUAAUAAAAAAUGAUUUAUUAAAUGGUAAACUUGUUCAGUUUAUUUAUUUAAAUUUAUUUUUAAAUUAAUAACGCAAUGUUAUACCUAAUAAAUAGCUAUUGGAAUUUAAAUAUCAUACAUAAUAAAACUUGUUUUAUAUAUCAAUUUUUAUUAAGCGAUAUAGUAUGUAAUAUGAUUAGCAAUGCGAUAGAUUUGGGAUACCUUCGGGACCCGUCUUGAAACACGGACCAAGAAGUCUAACAUGUGUGCAAGUUAUUGGGUAUAUUGUUGAAACCUAAAAGCGAAAUUAAAAUAACUAAAUUUUUAAAAUAAUGGGAUUACAAGUAAUAAUAUAUAUAAUAUUAUUUCUCAAUCCCGGGGCGUUCUAUAUUAACAUGUUUUAAGCAAUUGAAACCUCUGUUUCAGAGCGUACCUUGAGCAUACAUGCUGU
rnacentral:rRNA from 1 species